GCCGAACGCUGGCGGCGUGCCUAAUACAUGCAAGUAGGCCGCAGUUGCGAACGGGUGAGUAACGCGUAGGUAACUAACUAUCAGAGGGGGAGACCUAUUGGAAACGAUAGCCAAUACCGCAUACUCGUAGAUGGCCAUGCGUUGUAUUAGCUAGUUGGUAGGGUAAUGGCCGACCUAGGCAACGAUACAUAGCCGACCUGAGAUGGUGAGCGGCCACACUGGGACGGGGUCACGGCCCAGACUCCUACGGGAAGCAGCAGUAGGGAAACUUCGGCAAUGGGGGGAACCCUGACCGAGCAACGCCGCGUGAGUGAAGAAGGUUGUAGGGGCGUAAAGCUCUGUUGUUUAGGAAGCGGUACUUAACCAGAAAGGGACGGCUAACUACGUGCCAGCAGCCGCGGUAAUAC
rnacentral:rRNA from 1 species